UUUAAACCUAAAGAAUUUGGCGGUGUUUUAGUCUUUUUAGAGGAAUUUGCCCUUUUAUCGAUAAUCCUCGUUUUAUCUGGCUUUAUUUUGUUUUCAGUAUGUAUACCGCCGUUAUAAGUUUAUUUUUUUAGAAUUAUUAAUUUACAAUAAUCUUUAUUUUGUUUUAUUUCAGGUCAAGGUGCAGUUUAUAGUAAAGUUGAGGUGAAUUACAAUAUUUUUGAAUAUAACGGAUGUAUUAUUUAAAAUUUUAUUGAAGGUGGAUUUAAUAGUAAUUUUAAUAAUAGUGUUGAUUUGAUUUUAGCUCUAAAAUAAGUACACAUCGCCCGUCGCUCUA
rnacentral:rRNA from 1 species